rnacentral:rRNA from 1 species
GGCCAUGUUGGUUAACAGAUCCUCAUCUGCUGGACGUCUGGCGAUGAUCUUUAUCGGUUGUCGUCAGUUGCCAGCACGUUUACUUUGAGAAAAUUAGAGUGCUAAAAGCAGGCUCACGCCUAUAUAUAUUGCAUGGAAUAAUGAAAUAAGAUCUCGAUUUUAUUUCGUUGGUUUUAGAAAUUGAGAUAAUGAUUAAUAGGAUCAGAGGGGGGCGUACGUACUGUGGUGUGAGAGGUGAAAUUCUUGGAUCGCCACAGGACGAACAGCAGCGAAGGCGUUCGCCAAGAAUGUUUUCAUUAAUCAAGAACGAAAGUUUGAGGUUCGAAGACGAUUAGAUACCGUCCUAGUUCAAACCAUAAACGUUGCCAACUGUCUUUUAGAUGCGGUUAUUUAUAUGACUCAUCUGGCGGAUCUCGAGAAAUCUAAGUUUUUAGGUUCCGGGGGAAGUAUGGUUGCAAAGCUGAAACCUAAAAGAAUUGACGGAAGGACACACAAGAAGUGGAGCCUGUGGCCUAAUUUGACUCAACACGGGAAACCUUACUCGGCCAGGACACUUUUAGGAUUGACAGAUUGAGAGCUCUUUCUUGAUUAGGUGGGUGGUGGUGCAUGGUCGUUCGUAGUUCGUGGAGCGAUUUGUCUGAUUAAUUUCGAUAACGAACGGGACUCCGGCUUACUAAAUAGUCUAAAGUUCGAAGGGACUUUUCAAGACUUCUUAGCAGGAUAAGUGG